rnacentral:tRNA from 1 species
ACUAUUUUGGCAGAUAAUUGUGGUGGUUUUAGAAGUCAUUUAUAAGUAUUUAUAAAAUAUUUAAGUAGUA